rnacentral:rRNA from 1 species
UACGAAGGGGGCUAGCGUUGUUCGGAUUUACUGGGCGUAAAGCGCACGUAGGCGGAUCGUUAAGUCGGGGGUGAAAUCCUGGAGCUCAACUCCAGAACUGCCUUCGAUACUGGCGAUCUUGAGUCCGGAAGAGGUGAGUGGAACUCCUAGUGUAGAGGUGGAAUUCGUAGAUAUUCGGAAGAACACCAGUGGCGAAGGCGACUUACUGGACACAUAUUGACGCUGAGGUGCGGAAGCGUGGGGAGCAAACAGG